UACGAAGGGGGCUAGCGUUGUUCGGAAUUACUGGGCGUAAAGCGCACGCAGGCGGCUCGAUAAUUUAGAAGUGAAAGCCCCGGGCUUAACCUGGGAAUUGCUUUUAAGACUGUCGGGCUAGAAUCCAGAAGAGGGUAGUGGAAUUCCGAGUGUAGAGGUGAAAUUCGUAGAUAUUCGGAAGAACACCAGUGGCGAAGGCGACUACCUGGUCUGGCAUUGACGCUCAUGUGCGAAAGCGUGGGGAGCAAACAGG
rnacentral:rRNA from 1 species